AUUGAACGCUGGCGGCAGGCCUAACACAUGCAAGUCGAGCGGAGCGGCGGACGGGAGAGUAAUGCCUAGGAAUCUGCCUGGUAGUGGGGGAUAACGUCCGGAAACGGGCGCUAAUACCGCAUACUAUCAGACGAGCCUAGGUCGGAUUAGCUAGAUGGUGGGGUAAAGGCCUACCAAGGCGACGCUCCGUAACUGGUCUGAGAGGAUGAUCAGUCACACUGGACCUGGGACACGGUUCAGAGUCCGACGGGAGGCAGCAGUGGGGGAUAUUGAACAAUGGGCGAAAGCCUGAUGCAGCGACGCGGCGUGGGGGAUGAAGGCUUUGGGGUUGUAAACCUGUGUCGAUGUCGAACGGGUAGGUGGAGAAGAAGCGCCGGCUAACUACGUGCCAGCAGCCGCGGUAAUUC
rnacentral:rRNA from 1 species